CACUCUCGCCUUCGCCGGCA
rnacentral:miRNA from 1 species